CUUCCACCCAUCUGAAAAACUACUUAGGCGUAUUAGCCCGUGCGUCAUCGUGUUGUAUGAUACAGUCGAGUGUUUGAGACCUACUCGCGAAAUUUCAUCGAAGAAACGCCACGCUUCAUCAAGGUUUGCUGCCUUGCAGUAUCCCUUAAUCAAGAUACAAUAGGUGAAUAUAUUGUGAUUGAUCCCCGUCUCUGCCAUAGAAUAGAAGAGCUCUCUAGCUCUAACCAUCUCGCCAUGCGAGCAAUAUCCAUCUAUCAAUAUGCUGCAUGUGACAACAUUAGGCGAUAUGCCCUUCUCCACCAUCUCGGACAGCAGCUGCAGAGCUUCAUCAACCUUCCCACGCUUCGACAACCCAUCCAAUAAUGUAUUAUAAAUAUGCACGUUGGGAUGUAUUUCUUGAGCUUUCAUAACCUCGAAAAGCUUCCAGCCCUCAGCAAAUCUAUCAUUUCUGAAUAAUCCAUGUAUCAUGGUAUUAUAAGUGUGCACAUCAUGCUCGAGACCUUUAUCGGGAAUUUCAAGAAAAAUAAGCCAAGCUUCAUCCACGCUUCCCUUCUUGCAAUAUCCAUUUAACAAGGUGUUGUAGUUAACAAUACUGGGUUUAAGGCCCGUCUCUACGAUGGAAUCAAAUAAUUGUUUCGCUCUUUCAAUUUCACCCUUCAGGCAGAGCCCUUCAAUAAGCGAAGAAUAAGUGAAGACAUUGCGAUAAAUAUUUUGUUGCAUCAUAAUUUCCAACAUAUUCUCAGCCUCUUGCAUCUUUUCUUCCUUACAGUCUGCAUUAAUAAUGGAACUAUAAGUGACAACGUCAGGUAAAAUACCCUUCCCAACCAUUUUGGAUAGAACCUUGAAGGUAUUGUCCACCAUUCCACCCUUGCAAAAUCCAUCAAUUAGUGCACUAUAAGCUUUAACAGUGGGACUCCACCCACUACUUUCUAAUCUAUGAAGCCAAUCACGGGCUUCAAUGACCUGUCCAGCUUUGCACAACCCAUCAAUCAUAUGCAGAAUCAUAACGUCAUCUGGCUCGCAAAGUUUGAUUCACAGAUUUUGUACUGAGCUCUUGAAAUCAUUUGUUCAUUUUUAUAUACCAACAUAUAAUGCACAUUAAUGAAUGAGUUGGCUACCACAUAACAUGAUUUUUGAAAUUUGUGAUUGAUUUGCUAGACCGAAAAUAGGAUGCCUUAAUCAUGCAUAAAAAAUGAAUUAGUCAAGGGAGUUCAUAGAUGAAAACCUUGAGGGUUAAUGGUGGUUGGUGUUUGGUGGCUUCUUUUGUGCAUUCUUGUCUUCUUGAAUGCAGAUGAGAGUUUCUUGAAUGCAACAUGUCUUUUGUGUAGAAUGAGUAAAGGUCUCCUUGGUUUGAUAUAAUUGAGAUAUGGCAGAGAGGUGUGGAUGGAGGUAUGGCUGUGUAGGAGUAGGUGUACUUGAGCUAUGGGACGUGGUAUGGCUUUGAGAAAAAGAGAGUCAUGGUUGAUGGUAGAUAUUUUAAAACACUAUGCUUUGAAUGAUAUGAUAAUUAAAAUUUUCUGAUAAAAGAAUUGUAUCUAAAAUAUUUCUUUCGGGUUUCGUUAAAUAAAGCAUGCGUGUAAAUGCUCCAUUUAAAUAAAUAUGUGAUGCAUAAGAAUUUAAAUGACUAAGUUUUUCAAAAUCUUUUGUAAAUCGUUUUGUUGGAAUUAAAAUAAAUUUAUUAUUUUUUUUUCGACGUGAAUCAUCUUAAAUUCUAAGUUCAGAAAUAUUCUAAAUUUAGUUAGGAAAAAUCGGGGCAUUACACACUAAGCCACUACACUUAUAAAAGUAAUACCAAUAAAAAAAUUAAAUGAAAUAAACUACAUCAGUUAAAUUAAACGGUUUAUUAAAAAAUCAAUAAAUUAAAUCAUUAACUGUCAUCCAAAAUUACAUCAGUUAGAUAGCACGAUUUAAUAAAAAAAUAUUAAAUAAAAAAUAAUGAACAUUUAUAAAUGGCACCUAAACCUCAAUUACUCCCAUUACAUAACAUAAUAUGUUCUUCAAUUGCUACCGAGAUGGACGAAUAUAACAUUGCAACUAGAGAGAUGUAUCCAUGAGGUAUUCACAACAUUGAGUAACUGAUAUUUUAUUUUUAAAUCAUGUUUUGCAUUCAUUUAUAUUUUAAUUUUAUCUAAUAUUUAUAUUUAUUUAUUUAUUUAUUUAAAAUGUAAUUUAAUUUAGAUUUCACCGUGCAUCGCACGGAUGGUCGUAUUAGUAAUACAAUAUAUAAUAAAUAAAUCACAUGUCAUAUUACAAAAUUUAACGAAUACAACAUGAUUAGAAUAGCACUAUUAAUAUAAAAAAGUACAUGAUACAGAACAUAAUUAUAUGAAAUUAACUAUUGAAAAGUUUCGUGGGUUAAUGUAUAUAUAUAUAAAUAGUAUUUUCGGGGUUUAAGAUUGGUGUAAAAGGUUAUGUCCUAAAAGCAUUUGUAGUCCUAUUGUCUAGCAAUGCUGCACAUUAUAAGUUAGGAUUCAUUUUUUUAUCUGAAUAAUUAUUUAAAGACAUAUUCAACUUUUUUUUUUCUUUCUAAAAGUUAUCGUAAAGAUAUAAAAUUAGAUUGGAAGAUAUAGAAUGAUGAAAAGAAAAAGAAGUAAAAAAAAAACACUUUUACACUACAAAUCAUAUGGGCUCACAUAACUUUACACACUUUUACACUCUAAAUUACAUGAGCCCACAGACCUUUACACAUUUUUACACUAUAAUUUUAUUUUUUUUAAUUUUCGUGUUAAAAAGGUAUGUGUCAUAAAUAAUGGGACGAAUGGAGUAAGUGAUCAACUCAAAUAUAGAUAAAUCCUAUCAAAUGAAGAAUUCAUUGAAAAAUCAACUAUUUUUUUUUUCUUCUAAAUCUCUAAUCAAUGCACUUUAUUUUCUUAAAAAAAAUGUUGCCCAAGUCACUGAAGAAAUGGAAAAAUAGGUUACUAGUGCACUAUCUGCUAAUAUUCAUUUAUGUAGAGAACACAUACUAUCUAAAUAUUCCAUAAAAUGCAUCUCGCAUGAGCAAAAUAAAUAAGUUGACACUGAGAGAGUUCUUAGCAUUCAAGAUAUAAGACAAAAAAGGGCAACAAUUAUUUAUAGCUAGACUAUUGCUUCGACAAUUUAUAGUGGACAGAUACACCAUGGUGAAAACGUAAAGGCUACAAUGAAUUCAUUACAACUAGCUAGUCAAACCUUAGGUCAGAAAAAUAUGAGAAUCUAGCUAAAUAAUUUGAAAGAAAUAAGUUGACAUUAAGAGAGUAUUUAGCAUUCAGGAUACAAGACAUAAAAAAGGAAGGGCAACAAUUACUUAUUGCUAGACGAUUGCUUCAACAAUUUAUAGUGGACGAGUACACCAUGAUGAAAAUGCAAAAGUUACAAUUGAUCUAUUUCAUCACUAAACAAAUAGGUCUAAAGAUUGUAGUCUGAUGAGAGUGGUCAUACGCAUGGCACAACAACUAACAUGUAUAUGAUGAAAUUUUUGAUAAAUUAUAAGGUAAUUGCAAUUUAAUAAUUUUUUCAGACUUUGAAAGUUGAAGUCAUUAUUGAUAUGUUAUUUAAUUCAUUUUCUUUUAAUAUUUUUUAGUAAUCGAUUGCAGUUACAAACAUCUAAUUUAAGUAAAUUUCAAAUAAAUAUAGCAGUUUUUUCUCUUAAUAUUUUAUGGGUCGAUAAUAAGACAUCUAAUUUAGGUCAAUAUUAAAUAAAUAUUACAUACUUUUAUUUUAAAAUAAUUUAUUUGAUACUCUAUUUUAAUGAAAGAGAAUAUCACAAAAUUAUGUAAUAAUAAAUCCCUGUCAAAUUUCGACGGGCCACUUAUUAGUUGAUUAAUAUAAAGAUAUAUUUACAUAAUGAGUAGUGCUAUUGAUUUAUAUUAUGUAUAUACAUGAUUGGAUGUUUUAAUAAAUUUGCAUUUUUUUUAUUAAUACGAAUUAGGUGAAUUAAUUUUACUUUAAUAACCAAAACUAUACAAUGGCCAAUGGGGGCUUACGCUCCCACCAUUUUUCUUUUAAAUUCUUUAAUAAUCAUCAAACUAGUGCGAUGCAUGCACAACGAUCAUAAAAAUCAAACGACAUGUUCAAAUAAAUAAAUAUAAAUAUUAAAUAGAAUCAAAAUAUAAAUAAAUAUAAAAUAUAUUUUAAAAAUAAAAUAAAAUAAUCCACGUCAGUUACUCAAUAAAAUCCAAAAUUACAAAAACUUAAAUUUUCAACUCUAUAUAAAGUUUAAUGAUAAUUAUAAUUAUUAAAUAAUUUUAAAUCAUUUGAUAAUGAAAAUUAGCAUUACACAUUAUUAAGAGUAUUAUGCGUGAUAAUAAAUAAAUAAAUUGUAAUAUAAUCUAGACUAUCAUGUGAGAAAGCAUGCAUCAUGUUUCUAAGAUUGUAAAUUAAAUAUUACAUAUACAAUUUAUUUGAGAAAUACAGUCGAAGCUUUAAAAAAAAUUAUUAAUUUAGAAAUAUGAUAAUUGAGUUGGUAUCAAUUUUAUAGAAGAGACAAACUCAACAGUCAACAGUAUCAACAUCACAAACACUGUAUUAAUUUAUGGCUCCAACAGAAGCUUCGGCAGCUACGUCGUCGCGGUGGUGGAGCCUCGUGGGAGGAUACACAGUCAAGACAGCAGUUCACUUGAGCUAAAUUUUAUCAGAUAACACAUUCAUGCGUGUGCAGAUUUAACUCUUCAAUUAGCAAACAGUAACCACAAAUCAUAUCAAGCCAUCAUUUUAUAAUGACAACUUGAAAGAGAUCAUCAAUUGAUGAGCGUGAGAUAUCAAUAGGGGAAAUAAUGAUUCAAUAAAUGUGUAAAUGCAAUUUGAAGGCCAAACAGUCUUAUGAGAAAUUAAUGUACACAGCCGCAGACCAGCCGUGUCGUGACUCAUUGGUAUCGGCCAACUGAGCUCCUCGGCUGUAUCUAUCCAUUCUCUGCAGCACUCAUUCUGGAAUUUGUGCGACGAACUGCCUCAGCAUUUCCCUAGUUGGAUGUGUAGAUGAAUCCGGUUUACAUACACAAAGGCUUCUUCGCAGUCUCAGCUUCCCAGUAAAAAAUUCAGACACUGUAAAGGAAAUUCACUCUAAAUGUGUGUGAGAUGAGAGGAUAUCAUGAUUUGCACAAUUUCUCAAGAUUUAAACAUCAAUUCAAGUUGUAAACAUCUCCAAGAAAAAUUUCAAUGCCAAAAGAAAAAUUAUUAGCACCAAAUGCAAACAUCCACAACAUUUUUUUGUAAACGUACGAAAGCAUUUGCAUUUACAAUGCCAAAAGCAAAAUUACCUUGUAAUAUACCAACAUCGCACAGCCCUUGAAUAAUCCAAGCGUUAGAGACAAAAGAAAAGCUGAGAGUAGAUUGAAACCUCUCUCAAUUUUGAGCACAAACUUUCUUAACAAUCUCUUGCAAUUUCUCAUCUUUACCUUCUCCAAUUCUUAGUUCAUCAUGCAAAGCAUAAAUGAUAUCGGAAUUAACCACGAAUUCUCUCCUGCACAUCUCCUCCAAGAAAGGAAUCGCCUCAUGCACCUUUUUGCUCUUCACCAGAUUCCACACAAUAAUAUUGAACGUCACACCAUUAGGCGCGCAGCCGCUCCUCUCCAUCUCCUCAUCAACCUCCUAGCCUCCCUUCUCGCCCUUCAUUGUAGAGUAGAGUCGAGCAUCAUGCUGUAGAUUUGUACGUUCGGAUUUAAGCCAUUGGAACAGAGAUGGUUGAAGAGCCUUAUAGCUUCAUCAAGUCUUUGGCCCUUGCACAAGCCGUUGAUCAGAACACCGUACGUUACGAUAUCAGGAUUCACGCCUUUCGCCUCCAUCACCCUCAAAAAUGCCAACGCCUCACUAAUCCGAUGGAUCCUACAAAAGCCAUCCAACAAAAUGGUGUAGGUGUGGGGAUCCGGAUGUAUAUUAUGAGCUUCCAUUUCUUGGAAAAGCUUCCACCCAUCUGAAAAACUACUUAGGCGUAUUAGCCCAUGCAUCAUCGUGUUGUAUGAUACAGUCGAGUGUUGGAGACCUACGCACGAAAUUUCAUCGAAGAAACGCCAUGCUUCAUCAAGGUUUCCCGCCUUGCAGUAUCCCUUAAUCAAGAUACAAUAGGUGAAUAUAUUGCGAUUGAUCCCCCGUCUCCUGCCAGUAGAAUAAGAAAGCUCUCUAGCUCUAACCAUCUCGCCAUGCGAGCAAUAUCCAUCUAUCAAUAUGCUGCAGGUGACAACAUUAGGCGAGAUGCCCCUUCUCCACCAUCUCGGACAGCAGCUGCAGAGCUUCAUCAACCUUCCACUCUUCGACAACCCAUCCAAUAAUGUAUUAUAAGUGUGCACAUCAUGCUGGAGACCUUUAUCGGGAAUUUCAAGAAAAAUAAGCCAAGCUUCAUCCAUGCUUCCCUUCUUGCAAUAUCCAUUUAACAAGGUGUUGUAGUUAACAAUAUUGGGUUUAAGGCCCCUCUCUACGAUGGAAUCAAGUAACUGUUUCGCUCUUCCGAUUUCACCCUUUAGGCAGAGCCCUUCAAUAAGCGAAGAAUAAGUGAAGGCAUUCGGACAAAUAUGUUGUUGCAUCAUAAUUUCCAGCAUAUUCUCAGCCGCUUCCAUCUUUUCUUCCN
rnacentral:lncRNA from 1 species